GUUUCGAAAAUUAAUGAUUUGGCCAGCAUUAGUCUUGUGUAACAAAUUGAAUGCGGCUGAGUGCAUGGUUUGGAUCUAUGAAAAACAACUACCCAAUAGUUGUAGUUAAGUUAGGGCCCCUUUUUUUUUCUUAAUUCCUUUGCACAAACAAUGAGACAAAUGGUGUUUAGUGACAUGUCAACAUUACAACUCUACUUUUGCUUGCGGUUUAGGCUUAAUUGGCCAUGUUUAUUAAUUAGGAUUCCAUUUUUUUUACUAUUCUCACGAAUCAAAUUUCUAUAAAUUCAUUGCUUUUUCAAUCUUCUGUUUUGCACGUACAUUCCUGUCAUAUUCUUUUUUUUAUUCAAUCAAAAUAUGAAUUGACGUUAAUGUUAACAUGUUUUGGAGUAGCAUACAUCCAAACAUAGUUCGCAUACAGCCCCUGCAUAAUGGG
rnacentral:lncRNA from 1 species